rnacentral:rRNA from 1 species
AGAGUUUGAUCCUGGCUCAGAAUGAACGUUGGCGGCGUGGAUUAGGCAUGCGAGUCGCGCGAGAAGGUAGCAAUACCGGAAAGCGGCGAAAGGGAGAGGAAUAGGUGGGAAUCUGCCCCUGGAUCGGGGAUAGCUACGGGAAACUGUAGGUAAUACCCGAUAACGUCGAAAGACCAAAGGUGUGAUUCCGUCUGGGGAUGAGCCCACCUCCUAUUAGCUAGUUGUUAGGGUAAUGGCCUAACAAGGCAUUGAUGGGUAGCUGGUGUGAGAGCACGACCAGCCUCACUGGCACUGAGACACUGGCCAGACACCUACGGGUGGCUGCAGUCGAGAAUCUUCGGCAAUGGACGAAAGUCUGACCGAGCGACGCCGCGUGCGGGAUGAAGGCCUUCGGGUUGUAAACCGCUGUCGUAGGGGAUCAAAUGCAUUAGGGUACUCCCUUUUGCUUGAGAGAUCCUAGGAGGAAGGAGAGGCUAAGCUCGUGCCAGCAGCCGCGGUAAGACGAGCUCUCCAAACGUUAUUCGGUAUUACUGGGCUUAAAGAGUUCGUAGGCGGUCUUGUAGGUGAGGUGUGAAAGCCCUCGG